GAGAACAGUGGGGUGUGAGGCCGUAUAUGAUUGAUGCAAGAGUUGUAUGUGUCAAAAUGGAAAUGGAAUAUGAUAACAAUAUAUUUUUGUUGUUGGGUCGCCAAGGACAUGGCAAUCAACCUAUGUGGUGUACAUGUGUGUUGAGCUUAGAGAGGAAGUUGGUUAAUGGAUCUGAUAUUAGUUGAAUCCAUGCAAGACAUUAGCUACGACUCGAGCAAAUGGAUAUCCCCUAUGAGAAUUGUAUGAACAACCAUGUUGAAUCCCUUAUGUUGGACCAAAGUGGGGGAGAUCAGAAUCUCGAGCCUGAGAUGAUCCAGGAAACCGCUUAGCAGAUAUAAUUGUUGAUGAUGAGCUGUUUUAUGAAAGGAUAGAAGAGGUACAUGACCAUCAGAGAAUUACGUCGACAAGAGUGGUGGUGAUAUGGAAAUGCAUAUGAGAUGAAAACAAUCUAGGGAUGAGAACGCUGUUGGAGAAUC
rnacentral:lncRNA from 1 species